rnacentral:rRNA from 1 species
GUGGGGAAUAUUGCACAAUGGGGGAAACCCUGAUGCAGCAACGCCGCGUGAGUGAUGAAGGCCUUCGGGUUGUAAAGCUCUGUCUUUGGGGACGAUAAUGACGGUACCCAAGGAGGAAGCCACGGCUAACUACGUGCCAGCAGCCGCGGUAAUACGUAGGUGGCAAGCGUUGUCCGGAUUUACUGGGCGUAAAGGGAGCGUAGGCGGACUUUUAAGUGGGAUGUGAAAUACUCGGGCUUAACCUGAGUGCUGCAUUCCAAACUGGAAGUCUAGAGUGCAGGAGGGGAAAGUGGAAUUCCUAGUGUAGCGGUGAAAUGCGUAGAUAUUAGGAAGAACACCGGUGGCGAAGGCGACUUUCUGGACUGUAACUGACGCUGAGGCUCGAAAGCGUGGGGAGCGAACAGGAUUAGAAACCCUAGUAGUCC